rnacentral:lncRNA from 1 species
GAGAUUCAUAAAAACGUUUUUCUACUAAUAUACUAUAAAUGAAGUUAGCAUAAAAUGAUAAAAGUUUUUGAAUACCUUAUGCCGUCUUCGUAUUAAAUCAGUUUUAAUUGGCAAUUCAUCCAGUGAGAGUAGCCCAGCUGGCUACAGUACUUCGAUUCGAUUCUUCAAAGCAUCAAUAAAUGGAAUGGCAUUCAAUAUAUUGUUUUAUAUUUA